rnacentral:lncRNA from 1 species
CAACAAAACCUUUCAAUAAAAUGUGUGCCGUUAUUACACAAUUCGUAAAAGCUUUAAUAAAACAUUUUGAACGAAGUUUCACAGGCUAGUAUAACAUGGUGCGGCACAACAGUUGGUGCGCUACUAUGGCUUGGCCGCUUCCAACGCUAGCUCCCGCGCCUGCCAUGCUGCCGUUGCCGUGCAUUGUCUCCGUUCGCGCUUGCAGUGUCGCGCAUGGCCGCGCGCCCGCACUUUGCAAAGGAUUCAACGGGUCGCUUUCGUGCGCACAUCGCAUUCUCUGUGUGUUCCUGCGUUGAGGGCUCAGCUUCGUUUUGGUGCUUUCAGACAUUCACGUACUAAUCACAGACAUGGGAAGACUAUAAAACGUCAAGAUGAAAGGCUCCUAGCAGCUCUCAGUGUUCCCAACGAAACUGGCAGAAUGGCAGUGGCUGAUUACAAGCUGCCUUUGGUGAACAAAAAAAAAAAACGUGACCACAUUAGAAUCCGAGCAGAGCUCCAAUCCUGCAUUCUGAUGACACCUUACACAACGGCUCUCUGUUAUGGGGAGCUGGUACUUAAGAAGCUUUACUGUGGGCAUCCUGCCCACUAUUUUCAGACUGUUUUGGUGGAAACUUAAGCUAGACUCUAGGCCAGCGGCGGAAAAAGAGCUUCAGGGACGUGCAUGUCUACAGUGUCAUGGAAGGUAAGAUUAGAGGGCUGCUGUUUGACUGGGCCUAGAGAUAAAGUGCAGUGACUCUUACUCACAAAAUACGUGCUAUUUUGAAUGAAAAAAAUUAAUAAAAACAUGAACACAUUUGAAAAAAAAUAUCCAUCCAGUGUAGCUAAGUCGGGUGGACAUUUUUUUCUUUUAUAAGCCUUCCUCCCCCUUGCAGUUCCAUAGAACUGAUGUUCCACAAAUUUUAUUUACGAGUUGCAAAUCUGUUCGUAUGCAGCAAUGGUUCGGAUAUCAGCCACAACUGCUGAUACCGUGUACACGUGCUACUUGCACUGUUUGACUAGAUGGUUUGGUAUUCCAGAAGCUAUUCAUAGCAAUACCACGUGGGAAAAUGUGAUGACCGAUGCCAUUCGCCAAGCAGCAACUGCCUGGUUGAAGAAUUGCAGUUUGCGAGCGGAUAAAAAGCCAGCACGUUACGUUAAGCUUAGUGUUCAGAUGCAUCAAAGGAUACUGGGCCUGCCGCCAGCUGACAUGUCUUUCUUCCUCCUUAGUUCUGUUAAGAUAUGGGUUCAGUUUUUCUAGACAUGCAAUCCAUAAUAUAUGCAGUCUAGUCAAUCAGUGCACGACAUUACAUGCCAUUCAUUUCCUAUGUAUAUAUUUAGUCAGAAUCAAAGCAGGACAAGCACAUGUACAUAAUUUGCAAGAAUAAAAUUUUGUUUUUUGCUAAUUUUGCUGCCUCUUAAACAUUGUUAUGAAAUGCUGGCUACAGAAGAGGCAUUUUACAAGAUGUCUUUUCAAUGUGCCUCAUUCAAAACCUUUGUGUGCUGCAUGAAUUUUGCUUGUGUUAGCAGUAUACCCAAAUUAAUUGUGCGCUAAUGCAGAUCACUGGUACUGCUAUUGUUUUCUUGGAACCAGUGGUGCGAUUCAGGAUUUCUAGGAAAUGU